rnacentral:tRNA from 2 species
GGAGGUGUGGUCCAGCGGUUAGGACUCUGGUCUGUGGAACCAGCGGCACGGGUUCGACUCCCGUCACCUCCCCCA